GACGAACGCUGGCGGCGUGCUUAACACAUGCAAGUCGAACGGAAAGGCCCUGCUUGUGUGGGGUGCUCGAGUGGCGAACGGGUGAGUAACACGUGAGUAACCUGCCCCUGACUUUGGGAUAACUUCAGGAAACUGGGGCUAAUACCGGAUAGGAGCUCCUGCUGCAUGGUGGGGGUUGGAAAUUUUCGGCGGGUGGGGAUGGACUCGCGGCUUAUCAGCUUGUUGGUGGGGUAGUGGCUUACCAAGGCUUUGACGGGUGGCCGGCCUGAGAGGGUGACCGGCAACAUUGGGACUGGGAUACGGCCCGGACUCCUACGGGGGGCAGCAGUGGGGAAUAUUGCACAAUGGGCGGAAGCCUAAUGCAGCAACGCCGCGGGCGGGAUGACGGCCUUUGGGUUGUAAACCGCUUUCGCCUGUAACGAAGCGUGAGUGACGGUAAUGAGUAAAGAAGCACCGGCUAACUACGUG
rnacentral:rRNA from 1 species